CAAGCAGACACUUUUCUAUCGACGCUGCAUACAAGUUAGGAUGAGGAUUGCAACUUUGAUGCUACUGCUAACACUCGCCGUUCUCGUGCUAGCAUCAAAUGCUGAUGCAAAACCACAAUGUUCGGUCAAAUUCCUGCAGAAGUUUGGUGGGUAUUUGUUUGGUCUUUGUCAGCAAGAUUGCCACCGAAUCUUUCCGUGCCCUGAGGACAAGCAAUGCAAUUUGGAGCCUAAAAUUGUUGGCAUGAAGUGCAGGUGCACGAGGUGCUUAUACUCCUCCAAGGCUCCAAUAAAGAAAACUGUGAUGUUAACUAGCUAAGAAAAUAUCAGUGCAGGUUCGCAAAAAUAAUAACAAUUAAUUGCCAUAUCAUGUGGUCUAGCUAUCAGCAUGACUAUUCGCUAUAAAUCUUCAUCAUAGAACAUAAAUUCAA